GAUGAAGAACGUAGCAAAAUGCGAUAAGUAAUGUGAAUUGCAGAAUUCAGUGAAUCAUCGAAUCUUUGAACGCACAUUGCGCCCGCCAGUAUUCUGGCGGGCAUGCCUGUCCGAGCGUCAUUUCAACCCUCGAACCCCUCCGGGGGGUCGGCGUUGGGGAUCGGCCCUGCCUCUUGGCGGUGGCCGUCUCCGAAAUACAGUGGCGGUCUCGCCGCAGCCUCUCCUGCGCAGUAGUUUGCACACUCGCAUCGGGAGCGCGGCGCGUCCACAGCCGUUAAACACCCAACUUCUGAAAUGUUGACCUCGGAUCAGGUAGGAAUACCCGCUGAACUUAAGCAUAUCAAUAAGCGGAGGA
rnacentral:misc_RNA from 1 species